GAUUAACGCUGGCGGCGUGCCUAACACAUGCAAGUCGAACGGGGUAGCAAUACCUAGUGGCAGACGGGUGAGUAACGCGUGGUCAACCUACCGUUGAGUGGGGGAUAACUAGCCGAAAGGUUAGCUAAUACCGCAUACGUCUCCGAGUGGCAUCACUUGGCGAUAAAAGGAGCAAUCCGCUCGAUGACGGGACCGCGUCCCAUUAGCUAGAUGGUGGGGUAACGCCUACCAUGGCACCGAUGGGUAGCUGGUUUGAGAGAGCGACCAGCCACACUGGGACUGAGAAACGGCCCAGACUCCUACGGGAGGCAGCAGUGAGGAAUUUUCCGCAAUGGCGCAAGCCUGACGGAGCGACGCCGCGUGUGGGAAGAAGGCCUC
rnacentral:rRNA from 1 species